UGACUUAACUUUCUUUUUAAUUAAAUUCCACAUCAAAAUUCCUGUCUUUUUAAAUAGAUCGCAUGUUUUGAAUUAUUCUUGCCAGUCACAUAUCAUAUAUUAUUAGGGUUAUUUGAUAUGCAACUAGUAAGAUGUUGGGUCCGACUCUCGAUCAUAUUUAGACUAUUUGAUAUCAUAAUUAGAAGUCUCACAGUCUUGAUUCCUCUAAAAUGUCAUUUACUGUGUUAGACUUUGACUCAGACUUAAGGGUUGUUUGAUAUUGAUGCUAACCAGUCAAAAGGAGGGAGUCGGUCCUCAGUCAGAAGUUGGAGUGUUUGAUUUGAGUUGUUCACCAUCGGACUUGGUCCAAAGAAGGGAAGCGGUCCAAAAAAUUUUGAGGAUUCGGUCCUCAUCUCAAAACCUCUUGACUGAGUUUUGGCCUUCAGUCGCCUCAAAUGACACGUUGUGCCCUUGUCUCCUUCAAUCGAUCACGUAGUUCUUCGUUUCCCAAUUUGCCCAAAUCAUCCGAUUCUGAAGUGAGGUCAAGUGAAGGUAGCAAUUGUUUUUAGUUUAGCUCUUUGUCAUCCUUCUUCUUCUUCAACCUCCGCUCUUAGACACUCGAAAAUCAGAUCCACCGAUCAUUCCAGAGAAAAAGGAAACAAAGAUUGAUUUUGGUAGAGGUUUUGUCAAUUCUGUAGUUUCUGCUUCGAGAACGUUUUUUUUUCUGCAAUUUUCACUUUCUUCUUCUCAUUAGGACAAAGAAGGGAUCCCUCCAGAUCAACACAUAGUGAUUUUUUCUGGAAAGGAAUUAGAAGAUGGAAGAACACUUACUGAUUACAACAUCCAGAAAGAAUCAACACUUUCGUCUAGUUCUUGCAUUAAGAUCUGGAAAUCAAUGAGAAGAUGGAAGAACAAUUACAUCUAGUUCAUGUCUUAUGUGAUUGCCCCAUGACAAUGUUUAUUUGUAUUUGUAUUUGUACUUGAGAUUUGGUGCUUAUUAUCGCUUAUCACAAUUUGCAUUGCUUUUUGGGGGAUUGGAAUAACUUUUUGUGACAAGGAUUAGAUUUAAGGACAUGUAUAUGAAAGAAAAUACAUUGUUAUGUUUUGCAUUUAUCAAAAUGCUAAGUGGUAAUUGUAAAAAUUAAUUCGCUCUUUGAA